rnacentral:rRNA from 1 species
UACGGAGGGUGCAAGCGUUGUCCGGAUUUAUUGGGUUUAAAGCGCGCGUAGGCGGAUGUUUAAGUGUCUUGUGAAAUCCCACGGCUCAACCGUGGAACUGCUGGGCAUACUGGACAUCUCGAGGCACUCAGGGGCGAGCGGAACAAGUGGUGGAGCGGUGAAAUGCGUAGAUAUCACUUGGAACGCCAAUGGUGAAGACAGCUCGCUGGGGGGUGUCCUGACGCUGAGGCGCGAAAGCCCAGGGGGAGCGAACGGGG